rnacentral:tRNA from 1 species
GCCUGGGUGGCUCAGUCAAUUAAGCAUCUGAUUUCGGCUCAGGUCACGAUCUCACGGUUCGUGGGUUCGAGCCCCGCGUCGGGCU